GAUGAACGCUGGCGGUCUGCUUAACACAUGCAAGUCGAACGGAAUCCUUCGGGAUUUAGUGGCGGACGGGUGAGUAACACGUGAGAAUCUGCCCUCAGGAUGGGGACCACAGCGGGAAACUGCUGCUAAUACCCAAUGUGCCGAAAGGUAAAAGAUUUAUCGCCUGCGAAUGAGCUCGCGGCCGAUUAUUUAGUUGGUGGGGUAAUGGCCUACCAAGAAGGCGGUCGGUAGCUGGUCUGAGAGGAUGAGCAGCCACACUGGGACUGAGACACCGCCCAGACUCCUACGGGAGGGAGCAGUGGGGAAUUUUCCGCAAUGGGCGCAAGCCUGACGGAGCAAGACCGCGUGGGGGAGGAAGGCUCUUGGGUUGUAAACCCCUUUUCUCAAGGAAGAACAAAAUGACGGUACUUGAGGAAUCAGCCUCGGCUAACUCCGUGCCAGCCGCCGCGGUAAAAC
rnacentral:rRNA from 1 species